AGUUGGUGCUUGUUUUAAAACUUUGGGGCUUUGCAAUUUUCAACAACUAAGUGGUGAUUCCCUUCUUUUUCUUCUUAAAAAAAGAAAAAGAAAAUCAUUCUAGAUAUGAUUUCUUCACAUGUUAAGUAUUGAUAAGAUGAUUUACUUGGUUGAUUUAUUGAUUUAAGUGCAUAAAUAGAUUGGAAGGCUAAUAAAAGAGCCCAACAAAGUUUUUAGAAUCAAUGAGAGUUGCUAUUGAUGAUAAAGUGAGAAUUCAAACUUGGCAAAUGAGUCGUUGCUACGGAACUUGCUAAUGUUGGAGUAACGUUGUGUUCGAAAAUAAUUUCAAAUAGCUAAAUUCUUGUUCAACUACUGAUAUGCUUCCAAUGAGUAUGUACUUCUACAUAUCUUUUUUCUGCACUCGUUGCACUGCUUUUUUUUAUUCUUUAUCUUCUUCAAUGCUGAUGUUUUUUACAAUUUAUAUGCAAUUACAUAUGCAAAAUUUUAGAAGCACGCUACAAAGAAUUGAAUAGGAGUCAAGGGAAACAAUGGAGGGCAGCCCAAAAUUGGUCACAUCCUCAAACUAAUGUUGGGAGCGGAUGAAUUUGGUCAAUCAUUAAUCUUUUUCGUGCAUAAAGAGAUUGACAUGAGGGAUGCCAGCCGCAUAGUUCCUAUAAUCCAAGUGUUGUGCCAAAAAUGAAAUCUGAUCUUGAUCCAGCAAAGGUGGAACUUGGAAGGCCUGAGUUCUAUUUUGAAGAUGAAGCAUAUCCUGAAUAGGUUGAUUGGAUUGGGUAGAAAACCAAAUAGAUGCUGCUAAGGUUGCGAGAGUGAAGCAAAUUGCUCUAUGGGUGGAACAAACCCAAAUUGACCCUUGAAAAUAGCUUGGGUGACAACAAUAUAUUGGCGGGUGAUACUUGGGAUGUUCAAGCACUACCUUCUGGAACAUCAGUCUUUUACUCAUAUCAGAAUAUUGUAUGUGUCAGGAAAUCUGGAGAGCACCUGUUGAAAAUAUUGUUGCAAUGGGAGAAAAUUUCGCAAGUAAAAAAUGAACACAAAAGCUUUCUUUCUUCAAUGAUCUCUAGAAGAAGUUAUUCAGAACUCAGGAAAAAAAAAACUUGCAGUUGGGGGAAAACAAUAGGUACUAAAGAAAUAUGUUACCUAGUUCAAUUCGAUCGUAAACGGUCCCUUGUUUUCUACUAAUUUCUUGUUUUUAUGUCCAUCGGUGUCAAGAAAUCUAGAGAGCCCCUGCUGAAAAUAUUGUUGCAUUGGGAAAAAAAUUGCGCAAGGAAAAGAUGAAUACCAAGCUUUCUUUAUCCAUUGUUCUCUAGAAGAAGUUCUGAACUCAGAAAAAGAAAUCCGACUUUGGUUCAAAUAGAAAGUGUUGAUCCUGAUGUUUCCCUUUACCUCUAGAAUUUUGAAAUUGGCCCCAUUGAUUAACUAGAGCGUUGGAGAAAGAUUCAACCUUUUACUCUCCAAAGGGGAAUGUGCCAUUGAUUAGGCUACUUACAUUGCUGAGUUGUGAAUUUUAUAUUAAAGGAGUAGAAAGGAUAAAAUCAAUCUUUUGGGAAGGAAAUGAAAGGAAAGAAUUAGUAGUGUCCAUUCUGCUGUGUUGUUCAGUCAUCAGUUUUUUUUUUUUUUUUUACAAGUUGGAAAUAUUUUCUUGCCAUAUCAACCAUUUUCAACAACUAUGAAUACAGAAU